UAGCUCAGUGGUUUGAGCAUUGGCCUGCUAAACCUAAGGUUGUGAGUUCAAUCCUUAU
rnacentral:tRNA from 1 species